rnacentral:miRNA from 1 species
UCUCAGAAGAUAAGCGGGGUCGGGUCUGCUUAGUACUUGGAUGGGAGCCCCCGGCUGGAAAUACCGGGUGCUGUAGGCUUUU